ensembl:lncRNA
GUUAAAACCACCAUGAGGUUCUACUACAUACUUAUUAAAAAGGUUAUUAAAGAUGACUCACUAUUCCAAGUGUUGAUGAAGAUGUGAAAGAGCUGAAAUUCACUGCUAGAAGAAAAAAAAAAAUGAGAAAACGUUUGGCAGUUCCUAAGUUGAGGGCUUCCCUGGUGGCUCAGAUGGUAAAGAAUCCGCCUGCAAUGCAUGAAACCUGGACAAGUGAAUGGCUGCUACCCACUCCAGUAUUCUUGCCUGGAGAAUUCCAUGGACAGAGGAACCUGUCAGGCUACAGUCCAUGGGGUCACAAAGAAUCGAACACGACUGAGCAAUUUUCACUUUCAAAAGUUAAGUCACAUACUCUACAAUCCAGUCAUUCCUCUCCUAAGUAUUUGCCUAAGGGGAAUGAAAGCAUGUGUUCAUAUGAAGACUUCCACAUGAAUGUUCAUAGCAGCUUUGCAUGUAACAGCCUAAGUCAAAAUCAAUACAGAUGUCCAUCAGUAGGUGAAUGCUGCUAUGUUCAUAGAAUUCAGUGCUACUCAGCAGUAAAGUGGAAUGAACUCUUGAUACAUGCAACAACAUGAAUGGACUCCAAAAUAAUGUACAUGAAAGAAGCCAGAUUUUUAAAAGUAGGUACUCUAUAAUUCUAUUUAUGCAAAACUAUAGAAAAUGCACACUAGUCUAUGGUGAUCAGUGUCCCCGAGAUGGAGGUUGGGGCAGGGAAGGAGUAACUUUUGGGAAUGACAGAUGAGUUCAUGUUAUUGAUCAUGGUUGUCUCAGUCUGUUCAGGCUGAUAUAACAAAAUACAAUAGACUAGGUGGCUUAUAAACAACAGAAAUGUAUUUCUCACAUGAAAUCUGGAAGCCUGAGAUGAGGGUGUCAGCACAGUUGGAUGAGGGUCCCCUUCCAGGUCUCAGACUUCUUGUGUCCUGACAUGGUGGGAAGGGCUAGAGAACUGUAUGGGUCCCUUUAUAAAGACGCUAGCCUCAUUCAUGAGGGGUCUCCAUCGCAAGGGCCCUACUUCCUGAUGCCGUCACCUCAGAGUUUAGGAUUUCAGCAUAUAAGAACUGGGAGGGGGACACAAACAUUCAGCUUAUAGCAGUGGUGGUGUUUCCACAGAUGCAUACUUGUAUAAAAAAUUAACAAAUUGUACAUUUGAAAUAUGUGCAGUUUAUUGUAAAUCAAUUAGAUCUCAAUAAAACUUAAAAUCUUUCUGUUCAAAUGACUGGCAAGGUUUCUGUCCCCUGACUAGACUCUGAUGGCACAGGUGGUUACUGAUGGGGGGG